UGCUGCGCGGCGGGGCGGCCGGGGGGCAGGGCGUACGGCGGCCGGCAGGGCGGCGGCCGCGGCGGGAUGGAGUCGGUGGUCUUCAUCUUCUCGCUGAUCGACUGCUGCGCCCUCAUCUUCCUCUCCGUCUACUUUAUAAUUACACUAUCAGAUUUGGAAUGUGACUACAUUAAUGCUAGAUCAUGCUGCUCAAAGCUCAAUAAAUGGGUGGUCCCUGAGGUGAUUGGCCAUGCUGUCGUAACUGUAUUAAUGCUUAUUUCAUUGCACUGGUUCAUCUUUCUCCUUAAUUUGCCAGUAGCAACAUGGAAUAUAUAUAGGUACAUUAUGGUUCCAAGUGGAAACAUGGGGGUAUUUGAUCCCACAGAGAUCCAUAACCGAGGACAACUGAAAUCACACAUGAAGGAAGCCAUGAUUAAACUAGGCUUUCAUCUGCUGUGUUUCUUCAUGUACCUUUACAGGGUUGGAGUUGGUCACAGAGCAGAAGACUAUCUGCAGUCAUGACUGUGAACCUGCGCUUUCUACAUGCAAUGAGAUGAAUCAAGAGUAUGUCCGGCUUGGGGAGGCGGUCUGGUAAACCAUAACCCCAGUUAUCCCACCUUUGGUGUGACUCCGCUUCAAAGACAGCAGCAAACUAAGUUCUUUUUGUGCAGUUCUUGCAUCAGUGAGAAGGAUAUAAACCUGAGUUUGUGCCCUCACCGUCCAAUAACUGUCUUUAAAUUUUUAUGUGUGCAUGGAAACAGGUUUUUUGAAACAAACACAUCAAGUGAAACACUUCAAAAAGUAUAGUUCUUGUUGGCAUAGCUUUAUUCCAAUGCUUUUUCUCACAAGAAGCUCUCUGGGAUUUUGUACCAGUGCUGAGAGCAGACCAUUUUUGCCUCUGAGGAUGUGGUAAGGAUGAGAUUGGAGGGAGCAAUGGGAAAGUUUGGGCUAUAAGGACCACCAUGCAGUUAUCAGCACACUGACCACCUCUUUGGCAGAAAGAGAGGCAUACAAACUUCAGCAGUUCCUCUUCGGAGCAUUAUAGGUCUUUUGAAGCAAGGGGACAGCUGGGACUGCCGUCUCUGCGCCGAGGUGACAGCCUAAGCGUGCGCAGCAUGCAGAGGGCUGCGUCAGGCAGCGCAGGCUAAGAUGUGAGAGGGUGAAACAGAAACUGCCCUCUGGAGAAGGACCCUACCUCAGCAAAUUAUGAAAUGCUCAUCUACUACCAGGUUCCCUAUGUAUUUUUUUUUAAAUAAUCUGAAGGGUCUAAAAAAACCAGAAAUAAUUUUGAGUCUCAUAUAUGCUGAAAUUUCACAGUUGAUAGAAACGAUACACCUAUUUCUCUCGCAUUCUUGCCACCGGCUGAAGGCAGACAUAGGACAGCAGAUGAAGCACAGUAACAAACCCAGCCAAAAAACCUAAGCCUUCGUCACCGGGUGGACCCGCACAUCCCACCUGCAGGGGGGCUGCAGCCCAACAGCCCUCCAGGGCAGCGGCACGCAGCAGCAGAGGAACACGGCACGCCCCUUGUUUAGAGCUGCAUUCAACCCAUAAUUAUACACUGCUUAGACUGUAAGGGAGGGAAUAAAGUAAUAUAAAGGUCAUAACAAGGCAGUAAAGGCUUUUUCUAAUCAAUAUAGAAGCUCAAAGAAUUAAAAAAUUGAAUGCACCUCAGCAAAAGGUUUGAGUUAGGAAAAGACACGGGAAGGCAGGGUGAAUUUAGACGCUGCUUUUGAUUUAAUAGAACAUCAGCUAGAGCUGACUAAAAGUGCCUAAAAUGCAGGACAAAGCCAAGGUGGUGUUUUAAGGCACAGGGAAGGAGGACAGGAAUGCAGAGUUAGUUGGAAGGAGCAAAGGCCACCGUUGAGAAGCAGCUUCAGGAGCUCUCAGCCACAAAAGCUGCUUUGGUCGACUUCACAGAGCAGCCUGGAGGUCCCCAAUCUCCAGCUUUGGAGAAGUCUAAGCGGGAGACCCAAGUACUUUGGGAGCACCUUCUUAAUACGAAGUAUCAAAAACCCCCAGAAACCCCACCAAUAACCCAAAGCAAUACCUGUACCUGGUAUUUAAGCAAGCUCCAGCAUUAAGGAAUCAAGGCUUUCGUGGAGCCUCAAGGGAGCCGACGUUCAACAAGGCAGGUUACACACCACAGUGGGACACAGGCAAGUUGCCUGCUAAGCAUCCAGUGACAAAAGCGUGAGGUCAAUUAGAGCCCAACGUCAAAACCUGGAAAGCCUGCACACAACACGGAGCGAAUUCAUCUUCGGCUAAACUGCCACAGAUUAAUUCUCCUAGCGAGGAAGUGAAAUUCUACAAAUACAGAAGAGAUCUAUCAUUAACGAUCGAGACAUUAACAUCUGAGGCAGUCAUAUCAGUGAAGGUAGGGAAACUAAGAACUAUUCAUUCCAGUUAUUUAUUCUGUUUAUUGAAUCGAAAGAAAGGGAAUACAAACAUUUCUGUUAAGUGCUGUGCACCAACAUGGAAAAAGUGUAUUUUUUUUUUAAAAAUCCUAAUAAAAACAAAUCAGAAGUUAAUGUAGUUCCAAUUGAACAAUUUUUAAAGAUAUGUUUAAAAUACUACACAUUUAUAAAAUAAAAAAGUUAAAACGGUGUUCUGUAAAUAAUUAGUAAAACAAGUGAAAAUAAAUACCGAGACCCAAAGUUCUUAUGUUUUUAAUGUAAUAUAGCAAAGAAAUUUUUAACUACUUAAUAUAAUCCGAGGAGAGUAACAAAAAUCCAGAAAGUUUAAGAACGCAAUCCUUUGAAACAUUUAAUAUCAGUCCAUAGCAAAUAGUCAUUA